rnacentral:rRNA from 1 species
AAACUGCGAAUGGCUCAUUAAAUCAGUUAUCGUUUAUUUGAUAGUACCUUACUACAUGGAUACCUGUGGUAAUUCUAGAGCUAAUACAUGCUAAAAACCCCGACUUCGGAAGGGGUGUAUUUAUUAGAUAAAAAACCAAUGCCCUUCGGGGCUCCUUGGUGAAUCAUAAUAACUUAACGAAUCGCAUGGCCUUGCGCCGGCGAUGGUUCAUUCAAAUUUCUGCCCUAUCAACUUUCGAUGGUAGGAUAGUGGCCUACCAUGGUAGCAACGGGUAACGGGGAAUUAGGGUUCUAUUCCGGAGAGGGAGCCUGAGAAACGGCUACCACAUCCAAGGAAGGCAGCAGGCGCGCAAAUUACCCAAUCCCGACACGGGGAGGUAGUGACAAUAAAUACUGAUACAGGGCUCUUUUGGGUCUUGUAAUUGGAAUGAGUACAAUUUAAAUCCCUUAACGAGGAACAAUUGGAGGGCAAGUCUGGUGCCAGCAGCCGCGGUAAUUCCAGCUCCAAUAGCGUAUAUUAAAGUUGUUGCAGUUAAAAAGCUCGUAGUUGAACCUUGGGCCUGGCUGGCCGGUCCGCCUCACCGCGUGUACUGGUCCGGCCGGGCCUUUCCUUCUGGGGAGCCGCAUGCCCUUCACUGGGCGUGUCGGGGAACCAGGACUUUUACUGUGAAAAAAUUAGAGUGUUCAAAGCAGGCCUUUGCUCGAAUACAUUAGCAUGGAAUAAUAGAAUAGGACGUGCGGUUCUAUUUUGUUGGUUUCUAGGGCCGCCGUAAUGAUUAAUAGGGAUAGUCGGGGGCAUUAGUAUUCAAUUGUCAGAGGUGAAAUUCUUGGAUUUAUUGAAGACUAACUACUGCGAAAGCAUUUGCCAAGGAUGUUUUCAUUAAUCAGUGAACGAAAGUUAGGGGAUCGAAGACGAUCAGAUACCGUCGUAGUCUUAACCAUAAACUAUGCCGACUAGGGAUCGGUGGGUGUUACUGUUAUGACCCCAUCGGCACCUUACGAGAAAUCAAAGUUUUUGG